AGAGUUUGAUCCUGGCUCAGGAUGAACGCUAGCGGCAGGCCUAAUACAUGCAAGUCGAACGGGUUUAAGUAGCAAUACUUAAAUCAGUGGCGCACGGGUGCGUAACGCGUAUGCAACCUACCUUAAACUGGGGGAUAGCCCGUCGAAAGACGGAUUAAUACCGCAUAAUACUAUUUGAGGGCAUCUGAGGAUAGUUAAAGAUUUAUUGGUUUAAGAUGGGCAUGCGUGCCAUUAGCUAGUUGGUAGGGUAACGGCCUACCAAGGCUACGAUGGCUAGGGGUUCUGAGAGGAUGAUCCCCCACACUGGUACUGAGAUACGGACCAGACUCCUACGGGAGGCAGCAGUAGGGAAUAUUGGGCAAUGGACGGAAGUCUGACCCAGCCAUGCCGCGUGCAGGAUGAAGGCCUUCUGGGUUGUAAACUGCUUUUAUCUGGGAAGAAAAAGCCUAUGCGUAGGAAACUGACGGUACCAGAUGAAUAAGCACCGGCUAACUCCGUGCCAGCAGCCGCGGUAAUACGGAGGGUGCAAGCGUUGUCCGGAUUUAUUGGGUUUAAAGGGUGCGUAGGCGGCCCUGUAAGUCAGUGGUGAAAGCCUCCAGCUCAACUGGAGAACUGCCAUUGAUACUGCAGGGCUUGAGUACAGACGAGGUUGGCGGAAUUGAUAGUGUAGCGGUGAAAUGCAUAGAUACUAUCAAGAACUCCGAUUGCGUAGGCAGCUAACUAGGCUGUAACUGACGCUGAGGCACGAAAGCGUGGGGAGCGAACAGGAUUAGAUACCCUGGUAGUCG
rnacentral:rRNA from 1 species